GAAGAUCUGAAAGAAAGAGCAAGGUUCCUGAGAGUCGGAUGAGCAGAAGGAAGGGGAGACGUGGGGAAGGAAGGUCCAGGUCCUUGUGAGAGCUGCACCUUGGCAGGCAGGUUUUGGAGCCACAGGAGAAGGGAGCCUAGAACAGCCUCAGGCUAAGCACAUCCUCAAAAGGUUCAGGUGCAGAGCAGAGCUCUGGGAGCGUCUGUUCCUGGCAGGUCUGAGCAGAACUCAGGUGGCCUGACAUCUGGCAUCUCCUCUGUUCUGGCUGAACUGGAGACAAUGUGGCAGAGCCAAUGACCUCGAAGGUCCACUCAGGCCCAUUCCAGUCCCAGGCGAUGAUGUCAUAGUCAUCCAGAGGAUCCCCGAUGUCAUCGAAUGCCACCAUG